rnacentral:lncRNA from 1 species
AUGACUCAGGAACAAUUGGGGCCAUGUCCAUACUCACAGGAGCCCUGCUUCCUCAGGACCCCCUGGAGGACUCUGGAGGCGCUGUUGGGGGUCACGUCCACAUCAGAAGGGACUACUCAGAACCACAGGGGGCCUGGGAUGGAUGGACCUGUUCGAACCCUGAACUUAAAGAGGAAAGACCUUCAUUUUCUUGGCCUCCUUGCGUCCCCUCCCAUCCUAUCUAGCUCCUUCCCCGGAGCUCCUGAGAGAGCAAUUGCAAAUGACCUCAACUUGGCAGGGUCUGUUGGGGGACAGGCCCAGGGAUUUGGGAUCAGGGAGACCUGGGGUGCGGGCAUACCGGCUGUGCAUCGGGAUUUGAUGCUGCAGACUCAUUCCCUAAGGCUAUCUUGACAACUGACUUUGUACAUAGAAAAACUCUCCUUUAUCUUUAAAAGAUGAAGAGCCAGUCAAAGCCUUUUUUCUCUGCCCAUCUGAUUGCUCAGAUUCCAAUGUGAGACGUAUUUCCUGUUAAUAAGGAUAAUUUACUAUCCGUAGUACUAUGGUUAAAAUAUUCUGACACAAUUAAUUCAGAGGGAUGAGGGUUUCUCACCUCUUUCUUCACAGCUCAGUCACUCCUCAGGAAAUGCAUCUUUAUGGAUUUGGAAAGAACUGAGAGACAUUAUUACCAAUGGUCCUAUUAUUAUGUGAAGGAUCCUUCCCUGAGAUUCUUCCCCUGUUUCAACUGACACUGACACACUUUGAACUCUUUGGAAGACAAAUGUCAAGGAAAUAAAUGUUAUGCAUUGCUAAUUUUAAAUGCACUUGCAAUAUGGUGUCUAUUAUAAUAGAAGUAUUUUUAUCUGAUUUUUGCUAUUUAUUAUCUGUUCCUGCUUUUCAGGUUGAGGAGGCAUUAUACGUGUUCAUAAGUGUUUUUCUUUCCUUCUGAUAUAAAAUUCUUACUUUGUUUCCAUCAAAGGAACUCUUUAAGAAUAAGGCAAAAGUUAAUUCAACUAUUCUUAAAAUGUCUUCACACUUGGAGCCUGAUUCAUUUAAGUCAAUUUUCAAAAUAAAUCUUAUUUAUUAGGAAAGAAACAAUGAUUUAUAGGGAAAUUGAGAAGAUAGUACAGAGCAUUUGCAUGCACUUGCACUCAGUUUCUCCAAUGAUUGAUAUCUUAUAUCAGUACGGUACAAAUAUUAGCUAAUGAAUCAAUAUUAAAAUAUUCGCAUUAACCAAAGACGAUACUUUAUUCAGAUUUCCUUAGUUUUUGCUAAGUUACCACCCCUCAUAUGACAUUCCAUUUGUCCUCCUGUUUUCUUAGGCUCCUCUGGAUUGUGACAGUCUUUCAGCCUUUCCUUGUUGUUGUUGCACUGGAACACUUUGAGAAGUAGAGUAUUUUGUAAAAUUUCCCUCAGUUGAGACAUGUCUGUUGUUUAUCUCAUGAUUGAACUGUUUUUGUGGAUUAUAUACAGAGAUAUACUGCCAUUUUUAUUAUAUCAUAUAAAGGAUAGAUACUAUCAACAUGAUUUAUCAGUCUUGGUAUCGAUCUGAUCAUCUUGCUGAGGUAGUGUUUGUCAUCUUUCUCCAUAGUUAAGUGAUUCUUCCUCUUCUCUCUUCUUCUUCUUCUUCUUCUUCUUCUUCUUCUUCUUCUUCUUCUUCUUCUUCUUCUUCUCCUAUUAUUAUUAUUAUUAUCAUUAUAUUAUCAUUAUUAUUUUAAGUUUUUUAUAAUAUAUUUUGUAGAGGGAAGUUACUAUAUGUAUUCCACACGUAAGAGUGGGAAGCUAUGCUCACCAACUUGAGGGUGGAAUGUCUGCACAAAUUGUUUGAAAUUCUUCUACAUGGGAGAUUUCUCUUCCUUGUGUGUUUGUUUUUUUUUUUUUUUUUUUUCAAAGAUGUUAAUUAUUUGAGAGAGAGAGAGAGGAGAGAAAAACCAUGAGUGAGAGGGGCAGAUGGACAGGGAGAAGCAGAUUCCCUGCUGAACAGGGAGCCUACAUUGGGACCUGGAUCAUGAUCUGACUUAAGGCAGAAGCUUAACUGACUGAGCCACUCAGGUGCCCCUAUUUCUUUCUUUCUUUCUUUCUUUCUUUCUUUCUUUCUUUCUUUCUUUCUUUCUUUCUUUCUUUCUUUCUUCUUUCUUUCUUUCUUUCUUUCUUUCUUUCUUCUUUCUUUCUUUUUCUUUCUUCUUUCAAAUAAUAAAUUUACUUUUUAUUGGUGUUCAAUUUGCCAACAUACAGAAUAACACUCAGUGCUCAUCCCGUCAAGUGCCCCCCUCAGUGCCCGUCACACAUUCACAUCCACCCCUGCCCUCCUCCCCUUCCAUCACCCCUAGUUCGUUGCUCAGAGUUAGGAGUCUUUAUGUUCUGUCUCCCUUUCUGAUAUUUCCCACACAUUUCUUCUCCCUUCCCCUAUAUUCCCUUUCACUAUUAUUUAUAUUCCCCAAGUGAAUGAGAACAUACAAUGUUUGUCCUUCUCCAAUUGACUUACUUCACUCAGCAUAAUACCUUCCAGUUACAUCCACGUUGAAGCAAAUGGUGGGUAUUUGUCGUUUCUAAUGGA